rnacentral:rRNA from 1 species
AUCCAGCAAUGGAUAAGUGAGUGGCGAACGGGUGAGUAACACGUGGGUGACCUACCUUCGAGUGGGGGAUAACGUCCCGAAAGGGACGCUAAUACCGCAUAACAUCCUGCCUUUGAACAGGCGGUGAUCAAAGCCGGGGACCGUAAGGCCCGGCGCUUGAUGAGGGGCUCGCGUCUGAUUAGCUAGUUGGUGAGGUAACGACCCACCAAGGCGACGAUCAGUAUCCGGCCUGAGAGGGCGGACGGACACACUGGGACUGAGACACGGCCCAGACUCCUACGGGAGGCAGCAGUGGGGAAUUGUUCACAAUGGGCGCAGGCCUGAUGACGCAACGCCGCGUGGAGGAGGAAGGUCUUCGG